GUUAGAACAGUAAAAUUUUGAACUUUUUCUUGAAAUAAAGAUCGUUCGUUUAAAUAAGUACUAAGCACAACCAGAGGUAAAAUUUAAACUUCACUAAGUAAACAUUCAAAAGAUGCCAUUUUCGCAUGGCUUAUAUACAUUAACCAAAGAUAUUCUUCCGCCACUAGUCUAUUCUAUACAUGCCAUAAGAUAAUCCAAAACGUAGCAGUACCAAACAAUGGAUAGUGAUAGUGUGACUAGUUGCUGAUGAUCCCCGAGCUUGUAGCUUCCAAAUGAGAUCUAUAAAACAGAGCAAACAGAGUAAACGGAGUAAGCAUUACAAUGCUUAGUAAGUUUUAAGCAGUGUCAACAGAUAACAAUCAAAUUAUAACAUAGUUGUUCGUAUAGUUUAUUUCACUCUUCCUUCGGGCAUACCAUCCCUUUUUCCGAAUAUGCACAUCUCAUCAUAUACAAUAGGCAGAUAAACUUUCAUAUAAAAGUGAGCUCAUGUGACAUAGAUAUAUCGUAUGAUUUCACAUAACCUCUCACACUGAUCCGAUGUCACAUAAUCAUAGGAAUAGUCUCAUAGAUUGCUCUCUAUGCAUCACAUAACUACCUUAUGAUUUAGUGCAAAUCAAGCUCACAUAUAAACUUGGAGUACAUACUUGUUUAACCUUUCGCAUUGAAUAUAUUUAUAAGCAAUUCUUAUUACGAAGUCUUACCCGGACAUAAUCUCCACACGAAAUUAUCGGGUCUUACCCGGACAAAAUCCCCACACGUAGUCAUCGGGUCUUUAGAGCUCAGAUAUAGUACGAGCACGAAGCUUACGGACAUUAAUCAGUGAUAAUAUUCUCGCAUAAAGCCUGCGGGGUUUUAACCCGGAUAUAGUGCUGACACAAAUGCCCUUCGGGACGUAUCACAUUUAUACACUUUCACAUCCAUCACGUUGGCCACUCGGCCCUGUCACAUAUAUACACUUUCACAUUCAUCACAUCGGCCAUUAGGCCUUAUCACAUAUAUACACUUUCACAUUCAUCACAUCGGCCAUUAGGCCUUAUCACAUAUAUACACUUUCACAUUCAUCACAUCGGCCAUUAGGCCUUAUCACAUAUAUAUACACUUUCACAUUCAUCACAUCGGCCAUUAGGCCUUAUCACAUAUAUACACUUUCACAUUACCAACCCUUUUAUUCAUACACAAAGAUCAACUUAGCCAAAGGCCGGUAGCUCAUUUAUCAACUGAGCGAAUACUUAUUUGUAAGGGCUCAACUAAUUCAAAGCACAUACGAAACAUACCUCAAUGUUUGGAUGUUUCAAGCGUAUUAACUAAAAUUUUUACAGCAAGAUCAUUCAUUCCCAAAUCACAUACCUUCGGAAUUUAACCGGAUAUAGCUACUCGUUCAAAUGCCUUUGGGACAUAGCCCGGUUAUAGUAACUCGCACAAAUUCCUUCGGGACUUAACCCGGAUUUAGUAACUAGCACAAAUGCCUUCGGGCUUAGCCCGGAAUUAGUAUCUCGCACAAAUGCCUUCGGAUCUUAGUCCGGAUUUAGUAUCUCGCACAAAUGCCUUCGGAUCUUAGUCCGGAUAUGGUCACUUAGCACAAAGCCUUCGGGACUUAGCCCAGACAUCAUUCAAAUAACCAUGCACAUUUAACAAUAAAUCAUGGCACAUUCGUAUUUCAUUUUCGUUAGCAAAACUCAAACACAAGACACUUAUCAUUCUUGCAAUUUCGGCUCAAUAGCCACACACAAAGAGCAUGAUUUUGAUUUGCUUAAAACAUGAUCUAAUCAAAUCAUAAUUUAAGCUCUAUUACUCAAGAACUUACAAUAUCACGAUUUAGAAUUCAAGUAUGGGUUUAAUCAAUAGCUUGUGAGCAACUAAAACAAGUUUAUCAAGGUUCACAACAUAAUCUCAAAUUCAGCACAAGCUGUUUUUCCUGAGCAAUAGUCACUAAAUUAUUUAUAACUAGAGCUAAAAAACUCCAAAUCACUUUCCGUUAAUUUUUCCUGAAUAUAGACUCGUAUAUCUUCCACCCAUAAAAUUUCCAGAAUUUUAGGUUUGGCCAAUCAAUACCAGAUUUUUCUUAAAGUUUCCCCUGUUUCACUGUUUGACUAAUCUAACCACUCUUCACUACGAAUCAAAUUUCUCAUUUUACAGAAUUCAAAAUGUGUUUUAUUUGAUUCCAUUUGAAACUAGACUCAUUAAUGAGUCUAAGCAUAUAAAUUUUAUCUUAUAAACAUUUUUUUACAAUUUAUAAUGAUUUUCUAAAAACAGAACAGGGGAUUUCGGAGUCAUUCUGACACCGUCUCACACAACUUUAAAUAUCUCAUUAUCGGAAAUUCCUUUGCUUACACGGUUUCUUUUAUAAGAAACUAGACUCAUUAAGCUUUAAUUUCAUGUCUCAUUCAGCCUCUAAUUCAAGUCCAUAAAUUUAUGGUGAUUUUCUAAAGUCACGUUACUGCUGCUGUCCGAAGCAGACUAUUUCAAAUUACCCUUAAAUUCCCAAGCUCAAACACUUAAGAACUUACCAUUUGAGCUUAGAACAUAUCAUGGCCACAUCAUAUCUUAUUAAAUCAACUCAUCAUGUCCUAUUAUAAUUGAAUUUACUCAACGUUUAAACACUUAAAACUUACCUUGGAUGUGGUCGAACAAUUUCGGCAGCUAUUCGAUCACUUCUUCCCUUCCCUUAUCCAACUUUGGUCCUCUAAGCUCUUGAGCUUAAUUUAACAAAUAAAUUGAUUUAAUCAUUUGAGCAUCAAAAGAGGAACUCAAGGUACUUAGCCCAUAUAUACAUACAUUAGACAUUAAAGUCACAUACAUAUGAAAUCAUAAAUCAAUUCAACAUAUUAGCCCACACUCUCUUUUAGCCGAUUGUCUAAGCCAAGAUAAAAGCAUCAAUAUGCUUGCCUCUAGCCGAAUACAUGCAACACCAAGCAAGAAUGAUGCAUCCAUGGCCGAGUAUCAUCUUCAUAACUUUACAAAAACAUUUGCCAUGAGCUAGCUUCUAUACUUGGUGGCCACUCCAAAUAUACAAAGAUUUUCAAUGAUAGAGCAUUAACAUACCUUAAUACAUCAAAAUAAUUAAAUUCUUCCCAUGGCACACUAAAACCGAAUAUGUCUUAUUCAAAUAUAAAUUCUCAUAUUUCAUUUAUUUAACCAUUUAACCCUCCUAUCAAAUAAUUUUCACAAACUAAUCUUAAACUCAAAAUCACAUAAAAUCGUAACACAAAAGGCAUUCAUCUAACACUUGAUUUCUAAAUUCUAACAUCAAACUCAAAUUUCUUAGCUCAUCAACUCAUGGCCGAACAUCAAUUAUUCACCAAAACAAAAAUUAACUCAUGGGUUUUAGAGAAAAUUAAGUAAGGAAUUCAAUGAUACUAAAAAUUAACAAAAACAACCUGAAUUUCACCUUGAAUUUUUGCUUCCAAAUGGCCGAAACUUCAAAGCCACAAAUUUUAUUUUCUUUCUCCUUUGUUCGGCCUCCAAGAUGAACUACAUGCAUGUUCUUUUUUUCUUUUUUUUUAUGCCCCAUACCGUCCAUAUCAAUUGUCUAAGGUUAAAUAUCAUCACAAAUACUCCAACUUACAAAAACAACUUCAAUUCGGCCCUGAAGAUACAAACAUGCAUGGCUUUCCAUUUUAUGUUUUAUAAUACUUAUUUUUAUGUUUUAUAAUACUUAUAAAAAUAAUUAUCUCACAAAUAACUUUAAAAUAAACAUAUAAAGACAUCAUGCAUUAAGCCAUUACCAUCCAUAUAUUUAUUAAUGAUAUAAUUGCCAUUCAAAACCUCAAUAUUCUAAAGACAUAACACUUUAACAUUUUCAUGAUAGCAUGCUUAUUAAUCAAUUGAUGCAUUUUAAUCCUUUUUAAUGACAUAAAGAAAGAAAGAAAAAUAUUUACCAAGAGUUUCAAACUACUUGGCCGAAUAUCAAACCUCCAAACAACCAAAAAAUUUAACUCAUGGAAUGGAUAGAAUUUGAACAAAUCACCAAAAUUAUAUAUAAAUUUUCAAGAAUUUCAAAGUACUUACCUCUUUCUAAAUAUUCUCCAAGCCGAAAUCAUACAAAGAAAUUUUUUUCUUCCUUCUAAUCUCAAGUUACGGCAAUGGUAGAGUGAGGAUGAACCAACUUUGUUUUUAUCACCCAUUUCUUUUAAUAUAAGUUCAUAUUUCAUAUUAUUUAUUCAUUUAACAUUUAAUUUAUUAAUAUAAAAGGCAUAUAUUUUGUAUCCCAUGCUCCUUAUUUUAUCAUACUUCCCAUGAAACACUAACUUAACAUGUUUAUGACAUGUUCUUGCCCAUCACACUUGGUCUACCAUACUUGUCAUGGCCGGCCACUACUAAUUAGGGGGGAAAUUGACAUGCAAGUCCCCCCUUUUUAUUUCAUGCACUAAUAGAUCCUUAUGCUUUGACCUAUCACAUUUCAAAAUUUUCUCACAUAAGUCCUAUUUGAUAAAAUUCACUUACUAUUAACAAAAUUCAAACAUGAAAUUUUCACACAUGCAUAUGUACAUAUAAUGAGCAUCAACUAUGACGGUUAAUUAUCUUUAUGACUCGGUUUAGUGGUCCCGAAACCACUUUCCGACUAGGGUCACUUUAGGGGUGUCACAGAUUAUGCUUAUUCCAAAGAUUAUUAAUCCUUCUAAUCUGACUCAUUUUCGGCCAAUUAGUCUCUGUAAUGUUAUUUAUAAACUUGUGGCAAAGGUGAUUGCAAAUAGAUUUAGAGGAGUCAUUGAUAAAUGUAUUGAUGAAGCACAUAAUGCAUUUGUGCUAAGGAAACUCAUAACAGAUAAUGCACUAGUGGCCUAUGAAGUUUUACAUUCAAUGAAACAGAAGAGAGGGGGGAAGAAGGGAUUUAUGGCCAUCAAGUUAGAUAUGAGUAAGGCCUACGACAAAGUAGAAUGGAAUUUUAUUCAAGAAAUUAUGAGUAGAAUGGGUUUUUCUCAAAAAUGGAUUGAAUCUAUUAUGAAAUGUAUCUUUAGUGUUUCUUAUUCAGUAGUGGUUAAUGGUAACAAAAGAGAUAUAUUCUAUCCAACAAGGGGACUUAGACAAGGAGAUCCAUUAAGCCCUUUUUUAUUUCUGAUAUGUGGAGAGGGUCUAUCAGGUCUAAUGCGAAUGGCUAUUAGCGAAGGAGUUAUAAAAGGUGUUAAAGCUAGUAGAAGUGGCCCCAGGGUGUCUCAUUUACUAUUUGCUGAUGACUGCAUAAUGUUUUAAGAAGCAACAAGAAGGGGAGUAAGAGCAAUCAAGCAGAUUUUGCGUGAAUAUAAAAAUAGUUCAGGUCAGUUCGUAAACUUUGAAAAAUCAGCAGUAUUUUUUAGCAACAACAUAUCUGUGGAAGUUAGGCAAAUAGUGAUCACCCAAUUGGGAAUCCACAGCUCCAAUGAAUUAGAAAGGUAUUUAGGACUGCCAAGUUUAGUUGGGAAAAGGAAAAAAGAAUCUUUUCAAGCAUUUAAGGACAAAAUGAAACAGCGGAUUGAUAAUUGGUGUAUGAGAUUACUGUCUCAAGGUGGAAAGGAAAUAUUUAUUAAAUCAGUUUUACAAGUGAUACCGACUUACUCAAUGGCUUAUUUUUUUAUUACUGAAGACAUUAUGUGAUGAAAUGGAAGGCAUUGUAGCCAAGUUUUGGUGGCAAAAGGGACGUGGAAAGAAAGGAAUUCAUUGGUGUUUAUGGAGAAAUAUGUGUUCUUUAAAAGAAGUUGGAGGUAUGGGUUUCCGAAUUUUUUGCCAAUUUAAUGUUGCGUUAUUAGCCAAGCAGGGCUGGAGCCUUAUUAAUAAUCCGAGUUCCUUAUUAGCCAGAGUUUUUAAAGCCAAAUAUUAUCCAUAAUCAAAUUUUUUAAACGCAUAGUUGGGUUAGUUACCUUCAUAUACCUAGAAGAGCAUUUAGGCAGCACGAGGGCUCAUUCAGGAUGGGUUGUGUUGGAAAGUCAGUCGAGGGACCGAGAUUGAUGUCUGGACUGAUUGCUGCAUUCCUGGAUGUGAAGCCAUUGGUAGACAAGGUAGAGAGACAAACAGUGAUGUCCUAUUAGUUUCGGAUUUAAUCAAUAAUACUAGUAGGACUUGGAAGCGAGACCUGAUCAAUAAUACCUUUCAAUCAGGCAUAGCGCAAAAAAUUUUGAAGAUUCCUUUGGCAGAGUCAGAACAUGUUGACUUUCAGGUGUGGAAAGAGGAACCUUCAAGGGAGUUCUCAGUAAGAAGCGCCUAUAAACUAUUACAUCAUUCUAGCUCGAAUCCUAAUAUUUAUCCAUUACAACCCAAAAUAAGAAACUUCUAUAGAAAAUUGUGGGAUUUACAGCUACCGGGUAAAAUAAAGAUACUAGUUUAGCGAAUUUCCUGGAACUACAUCCCUUCCCUAAUAAAUCUAAGAUCCAAGAAAGUAAUAGAGAAUGCUCUGUGCCCUCGGUGCAGACUCAAAGAGGAAGACAGUAACCAUAUCUUUAGAUUUUGUCCUGCAAUCAGUGAAAUAUGGAAUCUCAUUAAUCUCUCUUAGACCAUUGAUCAUGAUAAUCAAAGUUUCUAGAAGUGGCUUAUCUGGGUUUUUGAAAGGAGUACAAUGGAGCAAUGUCGGUCCUUUUGUUGUGCGCUAUGGUGCGUUUGGAGUUCCCGAAAUCAGCUUGUACAUGAAAAGAAAAUCAUACCAGUUAGGGAUUUAGCAAGGAAAGUCAGCAGUUACAUAGCAGAACUGGAAGGGAUCCGAAUGAAAACAUUUACCUCUUCUUCCAAAAGGGACAACAGUUAUACUAGGGCGACGGAGGGUACCACAGUUCAGUUUGAUGCCGUUUUUGACAAAAGAAAUGAUAGAUCUGCCUCAGGUAUAGUCGUUCGAGACUAGACAGGAGCUUUAAAAGCCUCAAAGUCAGUUAUACAUGAGGAUACCCCGACCCCGUUCGCAGCAGAAGCCCUCGCAGGAUUAGAUGCCAUUAAGUUAGUAAUAGAAAUGAGGUUAACAACAGUAACAAUAGAGAGGGACUCGAGAAUAGUCAUUCAAAAAUGUCAAUCGACAGAAAUUGAUAAGUCGGUCCUUGGGGUGAUUAUUUAUGACAUACAGACCAGAAAAUCCAGGGGUUCAAGACGUUACUUUCAAGUUUAUCCAUAGAACGAAUAACAUUCAAGCCCAUAAUCUAGCAAAAAAAGGGUUGGAGAGAAGGGAGGACUCAUACCUGGGAGGGAAGACGACAAUUCAUAGAGUUGCAGACUCAGAGGGAAGAUGGAGAGAAUCGCCAGAUUGAAGAUGAAUGGACAAGGAGUAGGGUGCAGUUAAGGGUAGCAAGGAAUUGAUAUCUUAGGGAACGACUAUCUGCAAAGGCAUGGCUGUUGGGACGUGAAAAGACGAGUAAAGAAUUAAAUGGCCAGGCUGUUAGAUGUGACUGGGAGAUUUUCUGUUGAUUUCCUUUUGUUUUUCUAUUUUUUUAUUCUUUAUUGUCUUUUAUCAUCAUUUCUGAGAAACGGGCUAGCUAUUAAGGAAGCCCAACUUAGUUUGUUUUGUUUGUUUGGCAGUCGGACUUAAGCCCAAAUGUUAAUUUGGGUAUUGGUUUUAUUCUAUUUGUAAAGAGCCC
rnacentral:lncRNA from 1 species